rnacentral:lncRNA from 1 species
AUUUCCCACAUAGUGUCUUACAAUCGGUCGCAACAUUGGUCGCAAUGGGCAGAGAAAUUAAUUUCAAAUCGGUCACUAAAUCAGUCUCUAAAACAGUCUCUGAGGUCGGUUGCUAUUUCGGUCUCUAAAUUCAGUCGCUACUUCGGUCGCAACGAACAGAGAAAUUAUUAAAAAAUCAGUCACAAAUCAGUCGCUAUAGCGUCAGACAAUUCGUCGAAUCCAUCGUCGCAAAAUCAGUCUCUAAGCUAGUCUCUGAUUUCGGUCACUGUUUCGGUCGCUAACAUCGGUCGCUAUUUCAGUCGCUACAAN